rnacentral:rRNA from 1 species
UACGUAGGGUGCAAGCGUUAAUCGGAAUUACUGGGCGUAAAGCGUGCGCAGGCGGUGAUGUAAGACAGAUGUGAAAUCCCCGGGCUCAACCUGGGAACUGCAUUUGUGACUGCAUCGCUAGAGUACGGCAGAGGGGGGAUGGAAUUCCGCGUGUAGCAGUGAAAUGCGUAGAUAUGCGGAGGAACACCGAUGGCGAAGGCAAUCCCCUGGGCCUGUACUGACGCUCAGGCACGAAAGCGUGGGGAGCAAACAGG